ACUCCCGUAGCUCAGUUGGUCUUAGAGCAUCAAGCUUAUAUGGUCACGGUAUUUCAUACUAGACUGUAUGCCUCUUGGCGGUCGUGAGUUCGAUCCUCACCGGGAGUA